rnacentral:rRNA from 1 species
UGCUUAACACAUGCAAGUCGAACGGGCGCUUUAGCAAUAGAGUGCUAGUGGCAAACGGGUGAGUAACACGUGGGCGACCUGCCUCAAAGUGGGGAACAACAGACCGAAAGGUUUGCUAAUACCGCAUGUGCUCGGUGAUUCAAUUUGCCGAGUAAAACCGCAAGGUGCUUUGAGAGGGGCCCGCGGCCCAUCAGGUAGUUGGUGAGGUAAUAGCCCACCAAGCCGAUGACGGGUAGCUGGUCUGAGAGGACGAUCAGCCACAAUGGAACUGAGACACGGUCCAUACUCCUACGGGAGGCAGCAGUGAGGAAUAUUGCGCAAUGGGGGAAACCCUGACGCAGCGACGCCGCGUGGGUUCGUAGGCCUUCGGGUCGUAAAACCC